UACGAAGGGGCUAGCGUUGCUCGGAAUCACUGGGCGUAAAGCGCACGUAGGCGGAUUGCUAAGUCAGGGGUGAAAUCCUGGAGCUCAACUCCAGAACUGCCUUUGAUACUGGCGACCUUGAGUCCGGGAGAGGUGAGUGGAACUGCGAGUGUAGAGGUGAAAUUCGUAGAUAUUCGCAAGAACACCAGUGGCGAAGGCGGCUCACUGGCCCGGUACUGACGCUGAGGGUGCGAAAGCGUGGGGAGCAACAGG
rnacentral:rRNA from 1 species